rnacentral:piRNA from 1 species
UGCUCUUGCAGGAAGCUGCUCGGUCUG